rnacentral:rRNA from 1 species
GACGAACGCUGGCGGCGUGCUUAACACAUGCAAGUCGAACGGAAAGGCCCUGCUUUUGUGGGGUGCUCGAGUGGCGAACGGGUGAGUAACACGUGAGUAACCUGCCCUUGACUUUGGGAUAACUUCAGGAAACUGGGGCUAAUACCGGAUAGGAGCUCCUGCUGCAUGGUGGGGGUUGGAAAGUUUCGGCGGUUGGGGAUGGACUCGCGGCUUAUCAGCUUGUUGGUGGGGUAGUGGCUUACCAAGGCUUUGACGGGUAGCCGGCCUGAGAGGGUGACCGGCCACAUUGGGACUGAGAUACGGCCCAGACUCCUACGGGAAGCAGCAGUGGGGAAUAUUGCACAAUGGGCGGAAGCCUGAUGCAGCAACGCCGCGUGCGGGAUGACGGCCUUCGGGUUGUAAACCGCUUUCGCCCGUGACGAAGCGUGAGUGACGGUAAUGGGUAAAGAAGCACCGGCUAACUACGUGCCAGCAGCCGCGGUGAUACGUAGGGUGCGAGCGUUGUCCGGAUUUUAUUGGGCGUAAGGGCUCGUAGGUGGUUGAUCGCGUCGGAAGUGUAAUCUUGGGGCUUAACCCUGAGCGUGCUUUCGAUACGGGUUGACUUGAGGAAGGUAGGGGAGAAUGGAAUUCCUGGUGGAGCGGUGGAAUGCGCAGAUAUCAGGAGGAACACCAGUGGCGAAGGCGGUUCUCUGGGCCUUUCCUGACGCUGAGGAGCGAAAGCGUGGGGAGCGAACAGGCUUAGAUACCCUGGUAGUCCACGCUGUAAACGGUGGGUACUAGGUGUGGGGUCCAUUCCACGGGUUCCGUGCCGUAGCUAACGCUUUAAGUACCCCGCCUGGGGAGUACGGCCGCAAGGCUAAAACUCAAAGGAAUUGACGGGGCCCCGCACAAGCGGCGGAGCAUGCGGAUUAAUUCGAUGCAACGCGUAGAACCUUACCUGGGUUUGACAUGGAUCGGGAGUGCUCAGAGAUGGGUGUGCCUCUUUUGGGGUCGGUUCACAGGUGGUGCAUGGCUGUCGUCAGCUCGUGUCGUGAGAUGUUGGGUUAAGUCCCGCAACGAGCGCAACCCUUGUUCACUGUUGCCAGCACGUUAUGGUGGGGACUCAGUGGAGACCGCCGGGGUCAGCUCGGAGGAAGGUGGGGAUGACGUCAAGUCAUCAUGCCCCUUAUGUCCAGGGCUUCACGCAUGCUACAAUGGCUGGUACAGAGAGUGGCGAGCCUGUGAGGGUGAGCGAAUCUCGGAAAGCCGGUCUCAGUUCGGAUUGGGGUCUGCAACUCGACCUCAUGAAGUCGGAGUCGCUAGUAAUCGCAGAUCAGCAACGCUGCGGUGAAUACGUUCCCGGG